rnacentral:rRNA from 1 species
AUUGAACGCUGGCGGCAUGCCUUACACAUGCAAGUCGAACGGCAGCACGGGUGCUUGCACCUGGUGGCGAGUGGCGAACGGGUGAGUAAUAUAUCGGAACGUACCUUAUCGUGGGGGAUAACGCAGCGAAAGCUGCGCUAAUACCGCAUACGCCCUGAGGGGGAAAGCGGGGGACCGUAAGGCCUCGCGCGAUUAGAGCGGCCGAUAUCUGAUUAGCUUGUUGGUGGGUAAAGCCCACCAAGGCGACGAUCAGUAGCUGGUCUGAGAGGACGAUCAGCCACACUGGGACUGAGACACGGCCCAGACUCCUACGGGAGGCAGCAGUGGGGAAUUUUGGACAAUGGGGGCAACCCUGAUCCAGCAAUGCGCGUGAGUGAAGAAGGCC